ACCAAUUCCAAGGGAUUUUAUGUUCCUCUUGGUAUAAUGGCUUGGACGCCAUAUUUAUGUUGUGGUCAUCCUGAUUGGUGGUUUUCUUAUUCCGUACCAUUUUAUCCUGGAAACGCCACAUACAUUC